CUGUUACAUUCUUGGGACUGCAUUUCGAUGCAAAAGGAAUGGGAUGCUAUAAUAUUUCUGAGAAUUUUCAAUAUCUUAAAAAUUCCCGCCUAUCACAAGACGUCAGUUACUGAACAUAUUCUUCUGGAGAGAGAAUAUGUUGAAGUAAUGAUGAAUCAUGAACCGCCUCAGGCUGGAAACAGAGCAGGGUUAGUGAUCGCUGACGUACGGUGUGAAGAUUACGGUUGA
rnacentral:SRP_RNA from 2 species